UACAGAGGGGGGCAAGCGUUGUUCGGAAUUACUGGGCGUAAAGGGCGCGUAGGCGGCCUUCUAAGUCGAACGUGAAAUCCCCGGGCUCAACCCGGGAACUGCGUCCGAUACUGGAAGGCUUGAAUCCGGGAGAGGGAUGUGGAAUUCCAGGUGUAGCGGUGAAAUGCGUAGAUAUCUGGAGGAACACCGGUGGCGAAGGCGACAUCCUGGACCGGUAUUGACGCUGAGGCGCGAAAGCGUGGGGAGCGAACAGG
rnacentral:rRNA from 1 species